CCUAGGCCUGUAGCUCAAUGACAGAGCAUCUCCUUUACAUGCAGAAGGUCCCAGGUUCAAUCCCCGGCCUCUCCAGCUCAGGA